rnacentral:lncRNA from 1 species
UCACUCCUGAAGCCAUUGGCUUCUUGUCUGCUGUUGGGGUCUUUAUUGUUCUUCUGGCCGUCCUCUUCCUCUUCAUCAACAAGAAGCUGUGUUUUGAAACGAUAGGAGGCCUUCCUUUCCUGGAGCAUCGAGGGAAAAGAAAGCAUUCUAAAGACAAGACUGGGAUUCACAAGGGGCUGGCUGGAAGUUUUGAGAGUGAAAUAUUCACAGCCAUUAAGAGACCUCCAAAUUAAUUUCUCAACAUGCUUAUUCUAUAGUUCACAUUCAAUCCAGAGCACUGAAGGAACUGAACAACUGGACACUGUAGACAUCAGAUAGCUGGCCAUGGUGUUGGCCAUGGCGUCUCAGGAUGCUCAGAACUUCUUCCAGCCUUUCUCUUCCUGGAUAUCUCGGGUUUAUGAAGCUCUCCAGCAAGCAGGAGAUAUGUUAUCUGCUUCGCUGGUUAACAUAAGCAAACAAGACUCUAAAUUGAGUGACAAACUAGAUCAGGACUUAGAUAAUAUUCAGAUUCAGGAAACGUACUUUGAAGAUGAAGAACAAGACAAUGAUUUGAGUCAAGAGGAUGCAAAUUCCUUGUUUCUUGAAGUGGAUCAUUUCUCAUGUUGUAAUAGUGAUUUGCAGGACUCUGCCCAAAAUUCAAGCCCAAGGCUUAGCCAACAUGCAAGGGACUCAUGUUCCACAAUGUCCCAGUGGCCCAAUUGGGCCAGUGAUGACCGCAAGUUACCACAUGUGCUUUCUUCUAUUGCGGAGGAAGAGCAUCACCUUGAAAAGCAAAGAAGUGGCCUUCAACAUGGCUUUGACAGCCAGCUCCCUGGUACUUUAGAAACUGUUAAUGGAAAAAAGCAAGUCAACAGCUUUGGGGAUGACGAAGAGCUGUCCACAUCUUCUGACAGUGACGAGGAGGUGAUCAAACAAUUUGAGAUUUCCGUGUCCCGGUCCCAGAGUUACCGUUCAGUGACAUCUGAGAAAGGAAAGCAGACAGGAUUGGAGCAGAAACCAAAAUUCAGCCGUUCGUUGUUGACACACGGAGAAGAUGGCACAGAAGUAUCUGCCUGCGAAGGUAUUCUUUGCCUCACACCCUUUCUUUAG